rnacentral:rRNA from 1 species
GACAGAGGGGGCAAGCGUUGCUCGGAAUCACUGGGCGUAAAGGGCGCGUAGGCGGGAUGGUCAGUCGGUCGUGAAAGCCCCCGGCUCAACCGGGGAACGUCGGCCGAUACUGCCAUUCUUGAGGGAUGCAGAGGAGACUGGAAUUCCCGGUGUAGCGGUGAAAUGUGUAGAGAUCGGGAGGAACACCGGUGGCGAAGGCGGGUCUCUGGGCAUCUCCUGACGCUGAGGCGCGAAAGCGUGGGGAGCAAACGGG